GUCGACGGCCAUGCCACCCUAAACGAGCCCAAUCUCGUCUGAUCUCGGAAGCUAAGCAGGAUCGGGCCUGCUUAGUACUUGGAUGAGAGACCACCUAGGAAUACCAGGUGCUGUAGGCG
rnacentral:rRNA from 1 species